rnacentral:misc_RNA from 1 species
AAAGAAGAUUUACUUCUCUCGAUAUUAGCUUAUGGAGGUGAGGGAUUGUACUAUUUUGUUGAGCAGUUUAUUUGGUUAGGAAAAGCAGGGUUGAUUGAUAAGAAGAAUUUGAAUAGUUUACAGAAGAUUAGUGCGUGGUGUGAGUUUAUUGGGUAUAUUGGAAGUGUGAGUUUGAAGGUUAAGGAAUUAAGGCAAAUUAGUGAAGAUGAGCAGUGUUUGCUUUCGACUCGUGAGGUAUCGAUGAUCAGGGGGAUUGGGUUUGCUGAUGAAGAGGAGAAAUUGAGGAAAUUGAGAUUGAAGAAGUUGAUGAAGAGGCUAUCAGUAAUUCAAGAUUUUGCUGAUGGGUUAAUGGCUUUAGCUGAUAUUAGUGAUGGUAAAGGGAUGCUUUCUGCACCAUUGUUGUUGUCAUCAGCAGGGUUGUUAUCAGCUCUUAUUAGCACACAUAAGAAUUGGAUCUCUUGCUGAUCAUCCAUAGCUGGAUUUGGAGGUAUGGUUUGUGCUA